UGGCUUGGCCCAUUGCGGUUCUCCUACUGUUCUGUCAACAUCCAGGGAGGCCAGGGUUUUCUCCCAGUCUACAGGCUGAGGUGAGGGCAGAGGAGCAGAGUAAAGUCAAGAGCAGCACACCUGACAGCCGCAAAGGAGGCAAGAGCAGAGCCGGCUCCACGCUGACUGUAUCCCAUGCUGGAGAAAUCUCACUCUGAAGGAGUGGAAGAGGCCUGAACACAGAUAUUUUUUGCCAAGCUGGCCAGCAUAGGCAUCUGACCGCUCUUCUGCCACCACCACAAGAGAGGAUUCACUGAGCUGAGGACUGCUGGGAAGCUUCGGUAGACCUGCAGUUCGUUCUUUGCCUUUUCAGCCAACAAAGCUGCACUGAUUCGAGCGUUUUCUAUCAGCCAUGCUUUGUUGACUGUAGCAGCGGCUACUGACAUUCUUACAUUCUUGUGCGUGCAUUGCUGUGUUCAUGCCCGCCCGCCAUGGUAAAUCGCCCACUCUUCCACUCCCUCAGUGUCACAAUGAUGCAUUUAGGUACGAAAACACGGUACUGUAUGAUUUUAUAUGAAAAGGCAAAAUUCUGUUAUUAGGUGAUGCCUGACAGAAUACCGGAUUUGGUACCCAUCCCUAAAUCCGAGUAUAUGAUUUUAAAAACUAUUGUAUUUUUGCUGUAAAUUUGCCCUCAGUCUCUUUCCUAUUUUUAUUAUUUGUUUUUUACCUUUCUGUUAAUCUGCCUGCUUCCAUUUUGUCACUUUGUUGCUGGUACACCUGAAUUUCCCCACUGUGAGACAAUAAAGGAUAUUUCUAUUCUA